rnacentral:tRNA from 1 species
GAGGAUAUAGCUCAAAUGGUAGAGGGCUUGCUUAGAAUGCAUGAGGUCCUGGGUUCAAUCCCCAGUACCUCCA